GCCGGUGUAGCUCAGGGGUAGAGCAGCUCAUUUGUAAUGAGCUGGCCGGGGGUUCAAUUCCCUCCACCGGCU
rnacentral:tRNA from 1 species